CCUUGCCUGCCCUUGCAAGGUAAAGCAGGGUCAGACCUGGAGAGUACUUGGUUGGAAGUCUACCUGAAAAUAUAAGUUGCUAGGG
rnacentral:rRNA from 1 species